CCUACGGGAGGCAGCAGUGAGGAAUAUUGGUCAAUGGCCGGAAGGCUGAACCAGCCAUGCCGCGUGAAGGUCAGUGCCCUAUGGGCGUUAAACUUCUUCUGUGCGGGAGCAAUAAUGGUCACGUGUGGCCAGACGAGAGUACCGUACGAAUAAGCAUCGGCUAACUCCGUGCCAGCAGCCGCGGUAAUACGGGGGAUGCAAGCGUUAUCCGGAUUUAUUGGGUUUAAAGGGUGCGUAGGCUGUGAGGUAAGUCAGCGGUGAAAUGCCCCCGCUCAACGGGGUGAAGUGCCAUUGAUACUGCCUGGCUGGAAUGCGGAUGCCGUGGGAGGAAUGUGUGGUGUAGCGGUGAAAUGCAUAGAUAUCACACAGAACACCGAUUGCGAAGGCAUCUCACGAAUCCGCGAUUGACGCUGAUGCACGAAAGCGUGGGUAUCAAACAGGAUUAGAUACCCGAGUAGUC
rnacentral:rRNA from 1 species